AUACCUAAGGAAAAAGGGCCCUUGGAUCCAAGAACCGUAGAGUCUAACCAACAUUUACUUUAAUAUAUUAAAAUUAUAUAUAAAGAUGAUAAUUGGGAAGAGAUAUAUGAAAAUUUAUUUCUAUAAUACAUUUCCAAUUUCACAGCUAUUUUAAGCAAAUUUUGUAUAAAAAGCUCACGGAAUGUGCACAGAUUUAGUGAAUCCAACUUGAUUGGAUAAAAGAAAUAUUUGUUAUGCCACCAAUAAUAUCAUUAAUACCAACACCAUCCUCAUUACCAUCAACAUCAAAUGUCGGUAGACCUCAAAAAUUAUUUUCCAAUUGUCUCGAAGUAAAAGACAAUACACCAAUAUUCGUAAAUCAGCUAAGGAACGUAAAGCAAAUAUUUACCCGAGAUACGAUAAUGUUUUAACGCACCUUGUUGAUCACAUUAUACAGAGAAUAUUUUCAAUUUUGGAUAUACAAACCAUAGAUUUAACGAUGAACCAUUACAAAAUAUUAUAUAAAUGGGGAUGUGAUGGAAGCAGUAGUCAAUCUCGAUAUAAGCAAAUUUUUCAUGCAUCUAAUGACUUAGAUGACUCCGAUAUUCUUACAUUUUCACUGGUUUCUUUACAGCUGAGAUGUACAAAGAUAGACAAUCCUAGUAAUGUAGUUUGAUGGAAAAAUUCCUGUCCAUCGUCAACAUAUUGUCAAAUAGUAAGUCAACAUUAGAAGAAAUUAAGUUGUUGAUUCCAACUCAAUUUUUUUAAAAAUGGCAUUGAAUUUCAAGUACAGAGCACAUUAAUGUUCACUAUGAUAGACGAAAAAAUUUGCAAUUCAAUAGCUAGUUCAUAAAGCCAAAAAUGCUACAUCUGUAAGUGUUCUUCAAGUGAUAUGAAUUAUAUUAACCGAGCAAAAAAUUUAAGUGUACCAACAACCUGAGUAUUACAACUUUGGACUGUCAAUACUUCAUGCGUAUAUACGAUUUUUCGAAUGUCUAUUACACAUUUCCUACAGAUUGGAGUUAAAAAAAUGGCAGAUUAGUAUAAUGAUUAACGACUAUAAUGAGCAAUGGCUAUUUUGUAUAAAUGAAA